AGAGUUUGAUCCUGGCUCAGGAUGAACGCUAGCGGCAGGCUUAAUACAUGCAAGUCGAACGGUGUAGCAAUACACAGUGGCGCACGGGUGCGUAACACGUAGGUAACCUACCUGCUACUGGGGCAUAACGAUGGGAAACCAUCGCUAAUUCCGCAUGAGACAAUGAAGAGGCAUCUCUUAGUUGUUAAAGAUUUAUUGGUAGCAGAUGGGCCUGCGGCUGAUUAGCUAGUUGGUGGUGUAAGAGACCACCAAGGCCAUGAUCAGUAGGGGUUCUGAGAGGAAGAUCCCCCACACUGGCACUGAGAUACGGGCCAGACUCCUACGGGAGGCAGCAGUAGGGAAUAUUGGGCAAUGGCGGCAACGCUGACCCAGCCAUGCCGCGUGCAGGAAGAAGGCGCUCAGCGUUGUAAACUGCUUUUGCCGGGGAAGAAAUCCUAGUACGAGUACUAGAGUCGACGGUACCUGGUGAAUAAGCACCGGCUAACUCCGUGCCAGCAGCCGCGGUAAUACGGAGGGUGCAAGCGUUGUCCGGAUUUAUUGGGUUUAAAGGGUGCGUAGGUGGCUUUUUAAGUCCGGGGUGAAAGGCAGUGGCUCAACCACUCGCAGUGCCCUGGAUACUGGAAGGCUCGAGUGCGCGUGAGGCCGGUGGAACGGGUGGUGUAGCGGUGAAAUGCAUAGAUACCAUCCAGAACACCGAUUGCGGAGGCAGCCGGCUAACGCGCAACUGACACUGAGGCACGAAAGCGUGGGGAGCAAACAGGAUUAGAUACCCUAGUAGUCC
rnacentral:rRNA from 1 species